AAGGUGGGGAUGACGUCAAAUCAUCAUGCCCCUUAUGACCUGGGCUACACACGUGCUACAAUGGACGGUACAACGAGUCGCGAAGUCGUGAGGCUAAGCUAAUCUCUUAAAGCCGUUCUCAGUUCGGAUUGUAGGCUGCAACUCGCCUACAUGAAGUUGGAAUCGCUAGUAAUCGCGGAUCAGCAUGCCGCGGUGAAUACGU
rnacentral:rRNA from 1 species